CCUCCUAGCGAGCGGGCUCUGUCGAUUGGUCUGAAAUUAUACGGUUUGAACUUGAUCUGGAUAAUACCAGCGAAAGGAUCAUGCUUUCCCCCCUC
rnacentral:ncRNA from 16 species